rnacentral:rRNA from 1 species
AUACGGUUGAUAAUCCGUAGCCGCCAAAAGAUUUAAGUAAGAGGACACCUUGGAAGCGCAUAAGCCGGGCGAUGGUUGACCCGGUCGUAAGGGAGCGAAUUUAUUCGCGAAGUAUGUGUGGACGAGGGCGAGAAAAGUCUUAUGUAUAUCUUCGGCGCCCGUACCGCAAACCGACACAGGUAGACAGGAAGAGGAUUCUAAGGCCAACGGGAGAAGGGUAGUUAAGGAACUCGGCAGAUUGACCCCGUAACUUCGGAAUAAGGGGUGCCUCGAAAGAGGCCGCAGAGAAUAGGCCCAGGCAACUGUUUAGCAAAAACACAGGUUUCUGCCAAAUCGAAAGAUGACGUAUAGGAGCUGACACCUGCCCGGUGCUGGAAGGUUAAGAGGAGAUGUGCAAGCAUUGAAUUGAAGCCCCAGUAAACGGCGGCCGUAACAAUAACGGUCCUAAGGUAGCGAAGUUCCUUGUCGGGUAAGUUCCGACCCGCACGAAUGGUGUAAUGAUCUGGGCACUGUCUCAAUUACCCGCCCGGCGAAAUUGUAGUACCGGUGAAGAUGCCGGUUACCCGCGACAAGACGGAAAGACCCCAUGGAGCUUUACUGCAGCUUAAUAUUGGGUUUCGAUAAUUUAUGUAUAGGAUAGGCGGGAGACUAGGAAACACAGGCGCCAGCUUGUGCGGAGUCGCCCUUGGAAUGCCGCUCUUAAGUUGUUGGAAUUCUAACCUGCGGCCGUGAAUCCGGCCGGGGGACAUUGUUAGGCGGGCAGUUUGACUGGGGCGGUCGCCUCCAAAAAGGUAACGGAGGCGUUCAAAGGUUGGCUCAGCAUGGACGGAAACCAUGCUAUAGAGUGUAAACGCAUAAGCCAACUUGACUGCGAGGAUGACGGUCCGAGCAGGUACGAAAGUAGGAGUUAGUGAUCCGGCGGUAUGAGAGUGGAAUUGCCGUCGCUCAACGGAUAAAAGCUACCCUGGGGAUAACAGGCUGAUCUCCCCCAAGAGUCCACAUCGACGGGGAGGUUUGGCACCUCGAUGUCGGCUCAUCACAUCCUGGGGCUGAAUUCGGUCCCAAGGGUUCGGCUGUUCGCCGAUUAGAGUGGUACGCGAGCUGGGUUCAGAACGUCGUGAGACAGUUCGGUCCCUAUCUGUCGUGGGCGCAGGAUAUUUGAGGAGAGCUGUCCUUAGUACGAGAGGACCGGGAUGGACGCACCUCUGGCGCACCAGUUGUCACGCCAGUGGCACAGCUGGGCAACUAUGUGCGGAACGGAUAAACGCUGAAAGCAUCUAAGCGUGAAGCCGCCUCCGAGAUUAGAUAUCCCAUCCGUAAGGAGUAAGGCCCCUUGUAGACUACAAGGUUGAUAGGCUGCGUGUGUAAGCAUGGUAACAUGUUCAGCUUGGCAGUACUAAUAGGCCGAGGGCUUGACC